AGAACGAACGCUGGCGGCAGGCUUAACACAUGCAAGUCGAACGGUUGUAGCAAUACAGCAGUGGCAGACGGGUGAGUAACACGUGGGAACCUUCCUAGGGGUACGGAACAACUCAGGGAAACUUGAGCUAAUACCGUAUACGUCCGUGAGGAGAAAGAUUUAUCGCCCCUAGACGGGCCCGCGUAGGAUUAGGUAGUUGGUGAGGUAACGGCUCACCAAGCCUACGAUCCUUAGCUGAUCUGAGAGGAUGAUCAGCCACACUGGGACUGAGACACGGCCCAGACUCCUACGGAGGCAGCAGUGGGGAAUCUUGGACAAUGGGCGCAAGCCUGAUCCAGCCAUGCCGCGUGAGUGAAGAAGGCCUUACGGGUUGUAAAGCUCGUUUUAACCAGGGACGAUAAUGAACGGUACCUGGAGAAUAAGCCCCGGCAAACUUCGUGCCCAGCAAGCCGC
rnacentral:rRNA from 1 species